rnacentral:lncRNA from 1 species
CGAGAAAGCAAAGGAAUACAUAUUGCGCAAAUACUGGAGAUUCGCAAGGUGUUGGGGGAACCACUCUGGUUUGGCUGUGGCCCUACCCUAAUCUCAUCUUGAAUUGUAACUCUCACAAUUCCUACUUGUCAUGGGAGGAACCCAGUGGGAGGUGAUUGAAUUAUGCGGGCGAGUGUUUCCUGUGCUGUUCUUGUGGUAGCGAUGGUUUUUUAAAACAGGAAUUUCCCGGCACAAAUUUGCUUGGUGCCAACCUUGUGAGACGGGACUUGCUCCUCCUUGCCUUCUGCCAUGAUUGUGAGGCCUUCCCAGCCACGUGGAACUCAAAUUGUGCUUGAGUCUACAGGUCAAGAAGAUGAGAAAUGUCUGGUCUCGGCCACAGACACAAGACGAUGAACAAAUAGUCAUCAUUUGAAAAGUGUCACAAUAAGAAGUAAAUGUGCUGCUGCUGUGGUGCCAAGGCCUACCAACUUCAGAGGUGAUCUCUAGCAAAUGCAGCUGCCCUGCCAAGCACAAGAGAAGUUUGCAGAUGCCACAUUCCCUGCUGGGAACAUGACGGACGCACAUUCAAGUCUCCUGGAAAGCAGUUAUUUCCAAGAUGGUACAACAUCCUGUUCCUUGCCUCAGAGAUGAAAAACAGUGACCUGGAACAGAACAACUUUGUAGAUAACCUAAAAGCAUUUCGCAAGCAUAGAGGGUGAGGUGAUUAGCUCUAUCUGAUUGAGUUGCGGAAGCCAUCUCCGAAGAGGAAACAGUGUGUUCUGACAGGAAUUUUCCAUACAUAAAAAGAAACUGCAAAUGCAAAUGCAUGAAGGCUUGAAAGAGAUGGGCUUUGGAAAUCUAGGAAAAAGUUUCUGCAGGUAGAGGUCAAGUGUGUGCACACAGGCUUGUUUGCAGGAAAGGUGGGAGGGAGAAGAGGCAUGCAGUGAAGUUGGAAGGAUAAGUUGGUUGUGGCAGAUGCAGUCUUGAAGGCAGUAGAGUGUGACAGUCUAUAGUUUUCUAGAGGUUGGUAGAAGUGUUGUACAGUGUUGUAAGAAAUGAGUGUAAUAAAGCGCAUGCUGUAACUACCAAGAUGUUAUCACAAGGAGGUGGUUAAGAGAUGGCUAGAUUGUUGCAACCCUACAUGGUGACACAGUUAGGUUAAUGUUUUGUAGAAG